rnacentral:lncRNA from 1 species
CUGUUGAGCUGUGGAAACCUGACGGUGUUAACUAAGCAGCUGAUCAGGAAGUUGCGAGAGAAGUAGUGUUCAAUUGGGUCAGUUGCUCGGGUGUACUCCAUACAAACUGACUGGCUUGUGUGGUAUAGGGAAAGUUGUUUUGUACUGAGAAAAGGUUUCAUUUACAGGAAAAAUUCAAGGAGGCUCCAGCGCUGAGUCGGAUAAACGUAGCAGUGCAUACCUGCGUGAUAAAGAAAAUCCUGGAGGGCCGCAAAGAGGCCGCCUGUCUUUAAAGAGACGCAGAGAGUGGCCUAUUUUAACCGAAAUAAACAGUCCGGGUG